rnacentral:rRNA from 1 species
UCCGUCGGGUGCGCGCGUUCAUCGGAAUUACUGGGCGUACAGAGUGCGUAGGCGGUCCCGCAAGUCCGCUGUGAAAGCCCCGGGCUUAACCUGGGAAUGGCAGUGGAAACUAUGGGACUUGAAUCUGGCAGAGGGGGGUGGAAUGCCACGUGUAGCAGUGAAAUGCGUAGAGAUGUGGCGGAACACCGAUGGCGAAGGCAGCCCCCUGGGCUGAGAUUGACGCUCAGGCACGAAAGCGUGGGGAGCAAACAGG